rnacentral:misc_RNA from 1 species
AACAAGCCAAAUUCUGCAAAGCUUGAAUUCCGCUUAUUUUACUGAGCAAAGCCUCAAACAGCUUAUGUGCAGCUUGGCACGUUUACACUCCUAGGAUGUACCAAUGAGUUUCUCAAAAUAGAGGGACUAACUAAUAAGUAAUAGCAAUACACAAGGACUUGAGCAUAAUCCACCCUUACUUUAAACUGAAACAACCUAAACCCAGUUGCAAUUGGUUAAACAGUAAGGAUAUCCAAG